rnacentral:rRNA from 1 species
AAUAGAUACCCGGGUAGUCCACGCCGUAAACGUUGGAUACUAGGUGUGGCGGUUAUACCAAUGACUGCCGUGCCGAAGCUAACGCAUUAAGUAUCCCGCCUGGGGAGUACGGCCGCAAGGCUAAAACUCAAAGGAAUUGACGGGUCCCCGCACAAGCGGCGGAGCAUGCGGCUUAAUUCGAUGCAACCCGAAGAACCUUACCUGGGUUUGACAUCACGGGAAAAGCUGUAGAAAUACAGUGUCCAUUAGGGCCCGUGACAGGUGGUGCAUGGCUGUCGUCAGCUCGUGUCGUGAGAUGUUGGGUUAAGUCCCGCAACGAGCGCAACCCUUGUCCUACGUUGCCAGCGGUUCGGCCGGGGACUCAUAGGAGACUGCCGGGGAUAACUCGGAGGAAGGUGAGGACGACGUCAAGUCAUCAUGCCCCUUAUAUCCAGGGCUGCACGCAUGCUACAAUGGCCGGUGCAACGGGCUGCGAAACCGCGAGGUGGAGCUAAUCCCUUAAAGCCGGUCUCAGUUCGGAUCGCAGG